GACAUCCAAUUGACCAUCUUUUAAUCGAGAUUUUGCCUUCGGGUACAAUUGAGACAGGUGGUGCAUGGUUGUCGUCAGCUCGUGUCGUGAGAUGUGGGUUAAGUCCCGCAACGAGCGCAACCCUUGUGUUUAGUUGCAAACAGGUCAAGCUGUGCACUCUAGACAGACUGCCGUGGACAACACGGAGGAAGGUGGGGAUGACGUCAAAUCAUCACGCCCCUUAUGAUCUGGGCUACACACGUGCUACAAUGGCCGGUACAACGGGCAGCGAAGGAGCGAUCCGGAGCGAAUCCUAAAAAGCCGGUCCCAGUUCGGAUUGCAGGCUGAAACUCGCCUACAUGAAGUUGGAGUUGCUAGUAAUCGCGAAUCAGAAUGUCGCGGUGAAUGCGUUCCCGGGUCUU
rnacentral:rRNA from 1 species